AGACUUAGUUCCCCUGUGAUCAGAGGCAAGGUUAAAGGAGGGCUUGGCUGAGGUUUCUCCUUGCACUGUUUUUGUUCCCUUUCUAGAAACCAGCUGUAACACUAGGUCAGAGCGCAUUCAGAAUGAGCCACUUUGAACGAGCAGCGGCGCCCAGGCCCCAGGCCCUGCUGUGAAGGCUCCGGCAAAGGUCAGAGCUCCGGCCCCCCGUGACGUGCCUGCCUGUGCUCUCCGAGCUAUGCUCAGCCUCAGCUCAGGUAACACACAAGUUAGAAGAACAGCUUGUUUCCUGCUACGCAGCCACCCUCAGCAGUUCCCAGCUCACUGAAGUUCGGGUUUGCCUCAGAGGACACGUCAAGAACUGAUCAGAGAAAUCCCAAGCGAGCUGCCUGAACCUUCGAGAAUUCUCUUGUUCUACCUUCCAUAUAAAGAACCAGGACCAAUCGCAUUGGUG
rnacentral:lncRNA from 1 species